UUUUAAUGAGAGUUUGAUCCUGGCUCAGGACGAACGCUGGCGGCGUGCCUAAUACAUGCAAGUAGAACGCUGAAGGAGGAGCUUGCUUCUCUGGAUGAGUUGCGAACGGGUGAGUAACGCGUAGGUAACCUGCCUGGUAGCGGGGGAUAACUAUUGGAAACGAUAGCUAAUACCGCAUAAGAGUAGAUGUUGCAUGACAUUUGCUUAAAAGGUGCACUUGCAUCACUACCAGAUGGACCUGCGUUGUAUUAGCUAGUUGGUGGGGUAACGGCUCACCAAGGCGACGAUACAUAGCCGACCUGAGAGGGUGAUCGGCCACACUGGGACUGAGACACGGCCCAGACUCCUACGGGAGGCAGCAGUAGGGAAUCUUC
rnacentral:rRNA from 1 species